rnacentral:lncRNA from 1 species
CUAACUAUACUCAGUGACAAAUUCUAAUCCAACUCAAAGAUAGCCCUUUAUAUAUUUCACAAGCACAUCACAGAAGUAUAGUUACACAAUUCCUUCUAGGUCACUGCAUACACAGUUUAUCCAUGAAGAUUUUGCUGAUUGCCCCAUCCGUUUUUUGGAUGAGCCAUGUUUAAGUAAUCUUGAUUAUGAAGAUAGUAAUUUUCGUGAAAAUAGAUUUAAGUAUCGGAACAAGCCUACAACGAUGAAGAAGUUACGGGAUGUUGCUAGUAGUAAAACAAAAAAGAACGUUAUUGUUCUUUAAAAGAGAAGAAGAAAGGAUGUUGCGAAAAUACACUCAUUACCAAAGAUAUGAUUGUUGUGUAUUUGAUAGAUUAAUUUCUCUCAUAUGCAUUAUAAUUAUGUAUCAUAGUAGAAAAUUUAACUAAUGGUAAUGUAAACAGUGAAUUUGAUACAUAAGUAUAAUGCAUUGAGACGUUGCAUAUUUUCUGAUACAUACAUAAACGGUGAAUCUGAUACAUAAGUAUAAUGCUCUGAGACGUUGCAUAUUUUCUGACAUAUACAUAAACGGUGAAUCUGAUACAUAAGUAUAAUGCACUGAGACGUUGCAUAUUUUCUGAUACAUACAUAAACGGUGAAUCUGAUACAUAAAUAUAAUGCACUGAAACGUUGCAUAUUUUCUGAUACAUAUAUAAAUGGUGAAUCUGAUACAUAAGUAUAAUGCACUGAGACGUUGCAUAUUUUCUGAUACAUACAUAAAUUUACAUGUGAUUUAUGUUCUUAUAUAAUUAUAUCUAAUACAUACUAAAUUUUGAAAUUAUUUUGGAUUGUCUUGCAACUUAUAUAUUCAAAAUAUUGAGUACAACUGAGACAUGUAUUGUAUUUAUAGUUUAUCUGAAAAAACACGUAGUAUCUUAUGUAGCAUUAUCAAUAAUAUGUUUUGGAUUAGAUAUGUAUAAGUUUUCACGUAAUAUCUUAUGUAGCAUUAUCAAUAAUAUGUUUUGGAUUAGGUAUGUAUAAGUUUUUCUGACAUUUUUUGCUGAUUUAGUUUUGUAUUUUGUGCAACAAUUUGAUUUAGAGGAUUUGAAAGAAUUGUGACUGGAGGAUGUUGAUGAUGGUGAUUCAGAUUUGAAUUUUGAUUUAGAGGAUUUGAGAGAAUUGUGAUUGAAGGAUGUUGAUAAUGAUGAUUCAAAAUUUGAAUUAUGAAUUUGUUGCUAAUUUUCAGGAAUUCAACAAACAUAUUCCAGUCAAAAUCCCAUUAAUUUCUCUGUCAUUUAAUCUCUUCCCAUUACUUUUUCUUUUCAUAGGUAAUUAAUUUGCUAUUUAUGUAUCUGAACUUAUGUAUCUGGACGGAAUUUGGUGUAAUUAUGAAAAAAGUUGGGAGAGAGUGUAAUUAGGUAGCAAACUAUUAGGAUUUAUGUUAUUUGUCAUUUAUUUUAUCCUACUUAAAUUGCUUUUACUCUUACAGGGAUAUUCGAUACGAAAUCACUUAUCUCUUACUUAUUUUUU